AUGGGGGCAACCCUGAUCCAGCAAUGCCGCGUGAGUGAUGAAGGCCUUAGGGUUGUAAAGCUCUUUCGGCGGGGACGAUGAUGACGGUACCCGCAGAAGAAGCCCCGGCUAACUUCGUGCCAGCAGCCGCGGUAAUACGAAGGGGGCGAGCGUUGUUCGGAAUUACUGGGCGUAAAGGGCGCGCAGGCGGCUCAGACAGUCAGAUGUGAAAGCCCCGGGCUUAACCUGGGAACUGCAUUUGAUGCUACUGAGCUUGAGUACGGGAGAGGAUAGUGGAAUUCCCAGUGUAGAGGUGAAAUUCGUAGAUAUUGGGAAGAACACCGGUGGCGAAGGCGGCUAUCUGGACCGUAACUGACGCUGAGGCGCGAAAGCGUGGGGAGCAAACAGGAUUAGAUACCCUGGUAGUCCACGCCGUAAACGAUGUGCGCUAGACGUUGGAAGGCUUAGCCUUUCGGUGUCGCAGCUAACGCGAUAAGCGCACCGCCUGGGGAGUA
rnacentral:rRNA from 1 species